rnacentral:misc_RNA from 1 species
GAUGAAGAACGUAGCGAACUGCGAUAAGUAAUGUGAAUUGCAGAAUUCAGUGAAUCAUCGAGUCUUUGAACGCACAUUGCGCCCGCCAGUAUUCUGGCGGGCAUGCCUGUUCGAGCGUCAUUUCAACCAUCAAGCCCCCGGCUUGUGUUGGGGACCUGCGGCUGCCGCAGGCCCUGAAAAGCAGUGGCGGGCUCGCUGUCACACCGAGCGUAGUAGCAUACAUCUCGCUCUGGGCGUGCUGCGGGUUCCGGCCGUUAAACCACCUUCAUAACCCAAGGUUGACCUCGGAUCAGGUAGGAAGACCCGCUGAACUUAAGCAUAUCAAUAAGCGGAGGA